UUGUUCAUAGUCUUUAGGACCAUAGUGGUUGGCACGACCGUCGUCAUAUGUUGUACUAUGGUGUGAUGAUCUAUAAAUCUACUAUGGUGUGGCGAGCCACAAAUCAGCUAUGGUGUAGCGAGUUGCAAAUGUACUAUAGUUGAGAAAGUCGUAACUUGCUGAUAGUGUUACCACAGUGGUAGUUGGGAGUCUGUAUUAGCCAGUAGAUAAAAAG
rnacentral:lncRNA from 1 species